rnacentral:rRNA from 1 species
UUUCCAGAGGGUUUGAUCCUGGCUCAGGGUGAACGCUGGCGGUGUGCCUAACACAUGCAAGUCGUGCGACGAACUCUUCCUGAUUGAUUUUAUAAUCAAUCAGGAAGGGGGAAAGCGGCGGACGGGUGAGUAACACUUGGGUAACCUACCCUCAGGACCGGGAUAACCUGCCGAAAGGCGGGCUAAUACCGGAUAAUCUUCUCAGGUGAGAUUCCUGAGAAGCAAAGUCCUACCGAAGAGGUAGGGCACCUGAGGAUGGGCCUGAGUCCUAUCAGGUAGUUGGUGGGGUAAUGGCCCACCAAGCCUAAGACGGGUAGCUGGUCUGAGAGGACGGCCAGCCACAGGGGGAUUGAGACACGGCCCCCACUCCUACGGGAGGCAGCAGUGGGGAAUCUUGGGCAAUGCCCGAAAGGGUGACCCAGCGACACCGCGUGGGCGAUGACGGCCUUCGGGUCGUAAAGCCCUGUCAGGAGGGAAGAAUCCGCCUUUUGGCGGAUGACGGUACCUCCAGAGGAAGCCCCGGCUAACUCCGUGCCAGCAGCCGCGGUAAUACGGAGGGGGCAAGCGUUACCCGGAUUGACUGGGUGUAAAGGGUCCGCAGGCGGUUAGAUGUGUCGGUUCUGAAAUCCUCUGGCUCAACCAGAGAAUUGGAACCGAUACUAUCUAACUUUGAGUCAGGGAGAGGAAGACGGAACUGCCGGUGUAGCGGUGAAAUGCGUAGAUAUCGGCAGGAACACCAGUGGCGAAGGCGGUCUUCUAUCCCUGAACUGACGCUCAGGGACGAAAGCGUGGGGAGCGAUCGGGAUUAGAUACCCCGGUAGUCCACGCUGUAAACGAUGGGUGUUAGGUGUCGGCCCGUAAAAGGGUCGGUGCCGAAGCUAACGCGUUAAACACCCCACCUGGGGACUACGGCCGCAAGGCUAAAACCCAAAGGAAUUGACGGGGGCCCGCACAACCGGUGGAACAUGUGGUUUAAUUCGACGAUACACGAAGAACCUCACCUGGGCUUGACAUGCCGGUGGUAGAACCCCGAAAGGGGGACGACCCACCUUUUAGGGUGGGAGCCGGCACAGGUGGUGCAUGGCUGUCGUCAGCUCGUGCCGUGAGGUGUUGGGUUAAGUCCCGGAACGAGCGCAACCCCUGCCCGCAGUUACUCGCCCAUUAAGGGCAGCACUCUGCGGGGACUGCCGGUGUUAAACCGGAGGAAGGUGGGGAUGACGUCAAGUCAUCACGCCCCUUAUGCCCAGGGCUACACACGUGUUACAAUGGCCGGUACAAAGGGAAGCGAAGCCGCGAGGCGGAGCAAAUCCCAAAAAGCCGGCCCCAGUUCGGAUUGCAGGCUGAAACCCGCCUGCAUGAAGCCGGAAUCGGUAGUAAUCGCGGAUCAGCAGGCCGCGGUGAAUACGUUCUCGGGCCUUGUACACACCGCCCGUCACGCCAACUGAGUCGGGGGUACUCGAAGUUCCUUAUCCCAACCCGCAAGGGAGGGAGGGAAUUAGAGUACACUCGGCAAGGAGGGCGAAGUCGUAACAAGGCAGCCGUACGGGAACGUGCGGCUGGAUCACCUCCUUU